CGAGGGCGAGCACCUGCCCCUGUUGCCCAAAGUGCCUGAUGUGCCCCUUUGAUUUGAUAAAGGAACAAAUUAAUAUUUGUAUUAUUAUUGCUGCUGCCACUGAUUUUCAUUCAUUCAUUUUGGUAAAAAUGUAUUCUGUACAAUAACUGGGUGCCAUAAAAUCAGUUUUUCUGUGUGGGUGCACCACUUGCCCCUCAAAAGGUUGCUACACAGCACUGUAUUCAAAUACUAUUUUUUUUUUCUUUCUUUCAAAUGCAUAAAAAAAGCAGUGCGUGCUCACCGUAUUUAGUGAAGUGUUUAAUUCUGUUGGGUGUCAGUGUCCAUUGAAAGUGUUUUACAUACAGUGCAGUUAUUUUCAUCGAUGUACCUUUUUUACCCACCUCAGUGCCUCCUGACCUGCGGCCUACCAGCAGGCCUUGCCCGUAACUUUGGAACCUCUGAGGUAUGUAUGCAAUAAAAUGUUAGAAACUGUGCAUAUAGUACAUAAACAUUGUUUCCUCUGUUAAAAAAGCUUUGCAGUGGCACGUUUUAUACAUUAAGACAGAAAUAUUUUUCCAUUUUAAAAAUAAGAAAACAUAUCUUAAUAUAUUCUAGUUGACAGUGGGAAAUACAGGAAUCCACAUGGAGGGAUGAUCUCUUUCACGAUUUCACGCAGACUGCUGCUCUUAAUUUAAUAAGACAAAUCCAGUGACAUCAUGCCCAUUCGCUUUGUAAUUGUGGGGUACACGUCCUUCUCGUUUCUGUGGCAAAUUUAUCCACUUACAUUGAGAAAAGUGCAUUUUUUUAAAAUAAAUUUGAGGUGUUGCAUUACAAAUUGUUUUUUGUUUGUCAUCAGGGUUAAAGUGGACAUAAUGAAAUGCACACAUUUCAAUGUUUUGCAUGGGUUGUAGACUGUGUUGUGGUAGUUGUAACAUAGUGGGAUUUGUGAAUUUGAUAAGAGGUUUUAGGUGUAGUUGAGAUUUUACAAAUUUGGGUUUAACUGUAGAAACGGGCGAAUAUGAACCCCAGUUUUUCUACUUAGAAAACUGACUUUGAGUCAACCAAUAAUCUUUUACCGGCUAUUUAAAUAUCCCCACCCCUCUGCUCACAUGGGACCGCCCACUUUUACCUGAAAAACUGAGCAAUGACUACGAAGUAGUGUGCAGGGUGUAAAGUUUUCGAUUGUAUGUUUAAAAACAAAUCUUUACACCGAUCCCUGAAGAUCCAGCGGUAAAAAUAAACGGGCACACUUUAUUUCUGCUGUAAAACCCCUCCUGUUUAGCUUAGCAAAAAAGUACUUGUUUUUGAGCAAUGAGGUGGAGUAAAACAACGCAGGUUUUGCCUCCCAAGUUAAGAGGCCUACUAAAAUCAAACGCAGGCCGUCCCAGCUAGAACAAGAUUCGCCUGCAAACGUCCAGUCUGUGUGAGAUGCGGUGGCCUUCGAAGCGGGCGUCUCUGGAGCGCCUGCGUGCCCCGUGUUCCCGCCGACGCCCCGCCCCCUCGCCCGCCAUCUCGCCCGCCCGCUCGCCGCAGUGCUUCCUCUUCUCCCUGCGCUUGUGAGGACCGUUUCCAUGGGGACGCGCGGCGCCUGGAGCCGAACCCGUCGCCGCGGGAACCGAUUCCGGGUACGGCUGCGAUCACAGAUCGAUGGUUCCAUAACAAGAGAAUGAGGGAUUAUGGGAAACCGGCCCCACGCCUGUCCCACUGCUUCACGUAUCCAUGACGAUUUCACAAAAAGCUCAUCGCAUAAGCUCAGGCCUUUUACCAUGGCGUGAAGUGACAAAAAGAGAAGGCGUCUCUGCGUUUCGUCCGCUCUUCCAGAGCACAUGCCCGCUCAUAUGUGGGAAAAGG